rnacentral:rRNA from 1 species
AAUGAACGUUGGCGGCGUGGAUUAGGCAUGCAAGUCGUGCGCGAUGUGUAGCAAUACAUUGAAAGCGGCGAAAGGGAGAGUAACGCGUGGACACCUACCCUGAGGCCCGGGAUAGCUGCGGGAAACUGCAGGUAAUACCGGAUGAUGUCUCUGGACCAAAGGUGUGAUUCCUCCUUAGGAUGGGUCCGCGUCCUAUUAGCUAGUUGGUGAGGUAAUGGUUCACCAAGGCGACGAUGGGUACUGGGUGUGAGAGCACGACCCAGCUCACUGGGACUGAGACACUGCCCAGACACCUACGGGUGGCUGCAGUCGAGAAUUUUCCGCAAUGGGCGAAAGCCUGACGGAGCGACGCCGCGUGUGGGACGAAGGCCUUCGGGUUGUAAACCACUGUCAGUUGGGAGGAAAUAUCUAGGGGUUCUCCCCUAGGUUUGACCGAUCUUCAGAGGAAGUCCGGGCUAAGCUCGUGCCAGCCGCCGCGGUAAAAC